rnacentral:rRNA from 1 species
UGGAGCUUGCUCUAGCUGGAUUAGUGGCGAACGGGUGAGUAACACGUGAGCAAUCUGCCCCUGACUCUGGGAUAACUUCGAGAAAUCGAUGCUAAUACCGGAUACGACCCUUCCAGGCAUCUGGCGAGGGUGGAAAGAACUUUGGUCAGGGAUGAGCUCGCGGCCUAUCAGCUAGUUGGUGAGGUAAUGGCCCACCAAGGCGACGACGGGUAGCCGGCCUGAGAGGGUGACCGGCCACACUGGGACUGAGACACGGCCCAGACUCC